CAGCGGGUUCUGGAAACAGGGCAGUCCCACACUUCACACUGAGAAGACCUGGACCAAGGAUCAGGAGGUGAUAAGACAUGGCAAUGGUGGCUUUGGUGGAAAUAAACAAAUGGCAUCCCAAUCCCCUAAUUCAGAGAUGGAGAAGCAAGAAGGCUGGGGCAGAUCGCUCAGGAGCCGGUUCUGGCUCUGAUUCUGCUCGCCCUUCUCCAGCUCCGUGGCUCCUGUUUGGCUCCUGUUUGGCCUCGACGGUCUCCCUCCUGGCUUGAAAACCUCUCAUCUCUGCCUCUUCAUUGUAUGCAGCCUCCACUUGUGACGGCUUUAAUCCUCUUCCUAAAACUCAACUGAUCAUGGCAUAAGAUGGCUGUAAACCCAGUUAAAAACUGUCCACACUGCCCGUUGCUGGAUUCCUCAGAACGACCUUUAAGGCAUUUUCAGACUAAUGCCA